rnacentral:rRNA from 1 species
CGUUCCCGGGCCUUGUACACACCGCCCGUCACACCACGAAAGUCUACUGGACCAGAAGCCGAUAGGUCUUCUGUCGAACAAGGUCUGGUCGAUGAUUGGGGUG